ACUCUUAGACCAAUUUUAAGAAGGAGCCAUUGGGUAUAAUGGUGCUCAUGUGGGAGAGAAUCCUACAGAUGCAAGUUAUCCUGCCCACACAUCUGAUUGCCUGUACAUGUGAAUAAGAAUGUUCACAUAUGCGGCAUGUGAUGCUCCUUGGCUUCCAUUGCCGAAUGGCCUUGCCUUGGUAUCUUGGACCUCCUAAGUGAGCUCUUCACUUAUCCACUCUUGGACUAAGAGGUUGAAAGCUUGUUGAAACUUAUUUGCCCUAUUUCUUGUGAUUGGGUCUAAGGGCAUUUAGAUCCGGUUUUAUAACUUGCCAAGUGCAUCUUGAAUGACUUUAGGCUACAUAUGGACUUGAGCCUGAAUAGGAA
rnacentral:lncRNA from 1 species